CUAUUAAUUACUGAGAGAUGUGUUGAAGUUUCUAACUAUAAUUUGGGAUUUGUCCAUUUUUUUCUUUUAGUUCUGUCAGUUUUUGCUGCCUGCAUUUUGAAGCUCUGAUCCCAGGGGCAUAGGCAGUGAAGAUUGUUACAUUUUCUUGGUCUCAGAAUACCGGCGCCCAGGAUUCUAUCCAACCUCUGCAGGAGAUGGGACUAUGUGCUUGUGGGGAAAUUGACCAGCUCAAGAGAAAGGACCUAAUAAAACUGACAAUCGAGCCUC